CUCUCUCUCUCUCUCUCUCUCUGUUACCUUAUCCAUCUCUAUCUCUGGCACUGACCAACCAGCUCUCCAGAGCUAAGGAGGAGAAGAGACAGACUAGACUGCAAGGGAUUGACAGACAGAAGGACAGACAGACAGAGUGACGGGUCUUCGUUGGGGACCUGGAAAAAGUUGAGGACAUUUCUGUUGUGGAUGACAGCUGAGAGAGAGAGAGAGGGGUCCUGUGUAAACGUCGGCUGUGACAGCAGUGUUUCCAUGGCUCUGGAUGGUUUCAACAAUCUCCUCCACAAACUGAGGGAGUCCCACGACCGAGAGGUCCAAAAAUGGCAAGAGAAAUUGCAGGAGCUAACCAAUAAAAAGGGCUGUGACACAAAGAGAAUGGAGGAGCUGUUCAACAGGAACCAACAGCUGAGAGAGCAGCAGAGGUUACUCACAGACAACAUCAAACAGCUGGAAAACAGGUGGGUGG